AGCAGUAGCCGCGGGAAUACAGAGGGUGCGAGCGUUAAUCGGAUUUACUGGGCGUAAAGCGUGCGUAGGCGGCUAAUUGAGUCGGAUGUGAAAUCCCCGAGCUUAACUUGGGAAUUGCAUUCGAUACUGGUUAGCUAGAGUGUGGGAGAGGAUGGUAGAAUUCCAGGUGUAGCGGUGAAAUGCGUAGAGAUAUGGAGGAAUACCGAUGGCGAAGGCAGCCAUCUGGCCUAACACUGACGCUGAGGUACGAAAGCAUGGGGAGCAAACAGGAUUAGAUACCCGUGUAGUCCCUGUCUCUUAUAC
rnacentral:rRNA from 1 species